GACGAACCGUGCGAACGUUGUUCGGAAUCACUGGGCUUAAAGGGCGCGUAGGCGGUCUGCCAAGUCCGGGGUGAAAGCCCCCAGCUCAACUGGGGAAGUGCCUUGGAUACUGGCGGACUCGAGCGAGGCAGGGGCCGUGGGAAGCUUCCGGUGGAGCGGUGAAAUGCGUUGAUAUCGGAAGGAACGCCGGUGGCGAAAGCGCACGACUGGUCCUCUUCUGACGUGAGGCGCGAAAGCCAGGGGAGCAAACGGG
rnacentral:rRNA from 1 species